CGGGGAAGAUAAACAACAACAUUCUGUUUGGAUUUAAAAUCCUUCACGUUAAAGAUCUUAAGAACGGAUUACGACCAAAGAAGUCUUGAGUAAAGACAACAGUAGGAAACCGCUGUUCAAUGAUCAUAAAACGAUAAAGCGAAAACAAAGCAGGGUUACAAACUAAAACCGAGGACAACAGAUCAACUAUAAGAGAAAAAG
rnacentral:lncRNA from 1 species